GACGAACGCUGGCGGCGUGCUUAACACAUGCAAGUCGAACGGAAAGGCCCUGCUUUUGUGGGGUGCUCGAGUGGCGAACGGGUGAGUAACACGUGAGUAACCUGCACUUGACUUUGGGAUAACUUCAGGAAACUGGGGCUAAUACCGGAUAGGAGCUCCUGCUGCAUGGUGGGGGUUGGAAAGUUUCGGCGGUUGGGGAUGGACUCGCGGCUUAUCAGCUUGUUGGUGGGGUAGUGGCUUACCAAGGCUUUGACGGGUAGCCGGCCUGAGAGGGUGACCGGCCACAUGGGGACUGAGAUACGGCCCAGACUCCUACGGGAGGCAGCAGUGGGGAAUAUUGCACAAUGGGCGGAAGCCUGAUGCAGCAACGCCGCGUGCGGGAUGACGACCUUCGGGUUGUAAACCGCUUUCGCCUGUGACGAAGCGUGAGUGACGGUAAUGGGUAAAGAAGCACCGGCUAACUACGUG
rnacentral:rRNA from 1 species